rnacentral:rRNA from 1 species
CCCUCUUCUUCCCUCUUUUUUCUUCCUUCUUUUUCUUCCCUCUCUUUUCUUCUUCUAUUUCCUUCGGUUGUGAAAGCCUUCCGCUUAACGGAAGAAUGGCGGACGAAACUGCAUGGCUUGAGUGCGGGAGGGGAGAGUGGAGCUUCUGGUGGAGCGGUGAAAUGCGUAGAUAUCAGAAGGAACGUCGGCGGCGAAAGCGACUCUCUAGACCGUAACUGACGCUGAGGUGCGAAAGCUAGGGGAGCAAACGG